rnacentral:rRNA from 1 species
CCUACGGGUGGCAGCAGUGGGGAAUAUUGCACAAUGGGGGAAACCCUGAUGCAGCAACGCCGCGUGAGUGAUGACGGCCUUCGGGUUGUAAAGCUCUGUCUUCAGGGACGAUAAUGACGGUACCUGAGGAGGAAGCCACGGCUAACUACGUGCCAGCAGCUGCGGCAAUACGUGGGGGGCGGGCGUGGUCCGGAUUUACUGGGCGUUAAGGGAGCGUAGUGGGGCUUGUAAGUGAGAUGUGAAAUGCUCGGGCUUAACUUGGGUGCUGCAUUUGAAACUGGGAAUCUAGAGUGCAGGAGAGGAGAAUGGAAUUCCUGGUGUAGCGGUGAAAUGCGUAGAGAUUAGGAAGAACACCGGUGGCGAAGGCGAUUUUCUGGACUGUAACUGACGCUGAGGCUCGAAAGCGUGGGGAGCAAACAGGAUUAGAUACCCUUGUAGUC